GAUGAACGCUGGCGGCGUGCUUAACACAUGCAAGUCGAACGGUGAAGCAGGAGCUUGCUCUUGUGGAUCAGUGGCGAACGGGUGAGUAACACGUGAGCAACCUGCCCCUGACUCUGGGAUAAGCGCCGGAGACGGCGUCUAAUACUGGAUAUGUGAUGUGACCGCGUGGUCUGCAUCUGGAAAGAAUUCCGGUUGGGGAUGGGCUCGCGGCCUAUCAGCUUGUUGGUGAGGUAAUGGCGCACCAAGGCGUCGACGGGUAGCCGGCCUGAGAGGGUGACCGGCCACACUGGGACUGAGACACGGACCACACUCCUACGGGAGGCAGCAGUGGGGAAUAUUGCACAAUGGGCGCAAGCCUGAUGCAGCAACGCCGCGUGAGGGAUGACGGCCUUCGGGUUGUAAGCCUCUUUUAGUAGGGAAGAAGCGAAAGUGACGGUACCUGCAGAAAAAGCACCGGCUAACUACGUGCCAGCCGCCGCGGUAA
rnacentral:rRNA from 1 species